rnacentral:tRNA from 2 species
GCCGCUAUAGCUCAGUGGUAGAGCGCGUCAUUGGUAAUGACGAGGCCGAGAGUCCGAUUCUCUCUAGCGGCACCA